UUCUCGCGGAUCCCGUACGUAGAGCUGUUGCAUCAAGCGCGCAGCUCUGCAUGCGCCUGUGCGGCAUGACAAGAGUAGGAUAGCCUACGCGCACGUGGCUCGCCCAAUGUGCGUGUCAGUGCGCCAUUCGGGCGCACAGACUUGGGCAGCGCGUGGUGCCUCAAGCCCCGCAUCGCUGCUACAACGUUGGGAGCCGUGCCUCCCCUUGGUCGAUUGACACC
rnacentral:lncRNA from 1 species